rnacentral:misc_RNA from 1 species
GCCAACUUGAACUUGAGGCGUUCCCAUCUCAAAGCCAAAAGCAAGUCCCACUUCAAUAAAUUACAACUACUCCUCUAAAUAGCAAAGCAAUCCCAAAGCAAGAUUUUCUUUUGCUUUGUUUUUGUUAUCUUUCUUUUCUUCUCUACAAUCUAACCUUAAUUCUUGAACCUAUCAAUUUGUGUGUAAGUGAUUCUUGUUCUUUAGUUUCUUGUUCUUUCAAUGGAGGGCUUUAGAUCCAAGUCUUGCAGAGAUGGAAGGAUGCAGAUAGAGGAAUAUUAUGGAGGCAAGGCAGGACCAACAAGCAUGCAAGAUUUAAGGUCAUAUAGUGUGAGCUAUGCAGGUUCUACACAACCAAAUCAAUUUGGCAAGGAAGUGAAGAUCAAGAAAGGGAAAAGCAAUCUUGGGUCAUCUUCAAAAAGCUGGAGCUUCAAUGAUCCUGAGUUACAAAGGAAAAAAAGAGUUGCAAGCUACAAGGUGUAUACCAUGGAAGGCAAGAUGAAAGGGUCCUUGAGAAAGAGCUAUAGGUGGAUCAAGGACACUUGCACCCAAGUGGUCUAUGGAUGGAGGUGACCAAUUCUCAUUUUCCCUCUUCUUCUUAAAUCAAGAAAAAAACAUUGUGUUUCUUAAUGUUAUGGAAUGGAUGUUCAAGAUCCGAAGUAUUUCUCUUCUUACGAGUAUAAAUGUUAUUUGAGUUUAUCAAGAAUUUGUGUAGUAAGGUUGUGAACUUUUCUCUUCUUCUUUUGGCUCCAAAGGAAGCCAGAUCUGGGAAAUUGGAUUCUACUAUGUAAGUGUGUCAUUAGUGACUGUAAUGAGAUCUGCAACAGAUUGGCUUGAUUUGGAGAUUAAAACUUUUAAUCUUUUGUCUCGUAAUAGACUAAUCUGGGGUUGUGCUACUGUGUUUCAUGACCAAUGCUUGUAAGUCUAUGUUUGGGUAAGUGUAGAUUCUUGGUAAGUACAGAUUUGCAUUUUCUUUUCAUGUUCUGGGUAACAUCACUUGGCUACCCAGAAAGCAAGGAGAUGCAAGGAGAAUUCGCCUUGUAAUUAUUCCAUC